rnacentral:piRNA from 1 species
UCCUAAUGCAAUCUUUUCUAAGAUGUUCA